GGUGGCCGAGUGGUUCAAGGCGGUAGAUUUAAGAUCCCUGGUGAUAGAUCUCUACUGGGGCAACCCGCGCGAGUUCGAACCUCGUCC
rnacentral:tRNA from 1 species